GUAGGUGGCAAGCGUUGUCCGGAAUUAUUGGGCGUAAAGCGCGCGCAGGCGGUUCUUUAAGUCUGGUGUGAAAGCCCACGGCUCAACCGUGGAGGGUCAUUGGAAACUGGAGAACUUGAGUACAGAAGAGGAAAGCGGAAUUCCACGUGUAGCGGUGAAAUGCGUAGAGAUGUGGAGGAACACCAGUGGCGAGGGCGGCUUUCUGGUCUGUAGCUGACGCUGAGGCGCGAAAGCGUGGGGAGCAAACAGGGAUUGGAUACCCUGGUAGUCCACGCCGUAAACGAUGAGUGCUAAGUGUUAGGGGGUUUCCGCCCCCUUAGUGCUGCAGCUAACGCAUUAAGCACUCCGCCUGGGGAGUACGGCCGCAAGGCUG
rnacentral:rRNA from 1 species